GAACGUUUAAGACUAAGACGUUGAUAGGCUGGGUGUGUAAGCGUAGCGAUACGUUGAGCUAACCAGUACUAAUGAACCGUGAGGCUUAACCUG
rnacentral:rRNA from 1 species